CAGAACCUUUUUUUUUUCCUAUCCAAUUUCACUGUGGUUGGGCCUUCUCUGGCAAGGGUUUUAUAUCUUCUUCUUCCUCUUCCUUUUCCUUCUUCCCUUCCCAAUCUGAUCCUCUCUCUCUCUCUCUUUUCAAUAUAUAAAACCCCUUGACCAGUGUGUGAGAGUUUUGCUUGAACAGAAGAGUGAGUGGGUUUAUGUGUUUCGUCUGAGUGCUUUUGCAAUUAUCAGAAGAAGAAGAAGAUGAAGUACUUGGAGAACAAGCAUCAAGAACAAAGAGCACAAAGCUCUUGUUUGGCAACACAUGCACAUGCUUCUGCUUCUCAAGAUAACAGACAUCUUUUUUUUUUUGCUUAUUUCAGAGACCAUCGACCACAUCCAAGUGGGCUCAUUCUAUGAACUAGACCAUUCGAAGCUUCCUCCAACUACCUCAGAAGAAAUGAAGUCGAUUCGGGUCGUCAUGGUGAAUGAAAAGUCUCUGUUCAAGGUUUCAGUGAGGUUUCCAAGCCUUCACUCUCUCCAAACCCAUAUGAAUGAGGAAAGCUACCAAAACCUAGAUGGCUUUCUUCCCUUCACUCUCUCUAUUUCGAUUUUCUCAUCGCCGACGAUCGUGCCAGCUGAGUAAUGUAACAACCCAACAGUAAAAACCAAUCUUUCACAUUCCAAAAUCCAGAAACUCAAAAUCCAAUCCCUACCCAAAUACUAAACCGCAGUCGGGUUUCUGGGAUUGGAACCAUGAAUUGAGGAGUAACCAUCUUCUCCUUGCUGUCAUUCCCUUCUUCAUUCACUACUACAACCACCGCAGCAUAACAAAUAAGUUGACAUAACAUUGAAAUCACUUGCAGAAAUCUCAAAACCCAUACCUCUAUUCGCAUAAAUGUCAACGGAAUCCUUAUCAGAAUCUUCGCAAAGCCUCUCCAGUAACUCCAUCUUGGAACCAGUAGCCGGAAUUCCAUGAAGAGUUGCUUGUUCGCAGAGUUACUUGAUAUUCAUGAAUUGAGGAAUUGUGGAGGUUGAUUUCUUCGACCUAUGAGAGUAGCUUUUGCUUCCGGAUUGUUUUCGAUAUGGGUUUUCUCGUUGUGGCUCUCUAUGUUGGAGGUUGGAGACGACGCUAGGUUUUGGGUUUUAGAAGUGAAGACUAAUUACAAGACUUGGAAAUUCUGAGAGAGAAAGAAGAAGCAGAAGGAAGGGAGAGGCAAUUCCGGGUUGUUCAUAUGGGUUCAUUAAACCCAGAAUUCAUCUUCUUCUUUUUCAUUUUUUUCUCCAUAAAUUAGUUAAUAAGAGAAAGAUAAUUUUGCUCUUGAUAAAAAUAUCACAUGCGUGAUACAUCAUUAUUUUAACAGAACAUUGACGGAGGUAUCACGUAUAUAUCAAAAUAAGACUUCAGGUAUUACAUUGAUAUAGUUGAGAGUUUAUGUAUUAAAUUGGCCUUGACAUUAGAGUUUGGACAUUAUUGCUGAAUUUUUCUCUACACUAACUAGGAGGCAAUUCCUCUCAACUUUGUUCGAAGGCAUCCAGAUGAUAGGCAGCGUAUAUUAAGGACCCAACAUCUUGAUGAUGGCAUAACGCAUAUGGUUUUCUCUCUAGCGGGGAAACUGAUCGAGCUUCGAUUUACCAUGGCGGAGGAGGAGACUAUCGUGCAUCUUGUUGGGGGCGAGGAGCAAUCCAAGAUCCUUUCUGCUAUGUUUGUGGCCGGAUGCUCUCUUAGAAAUAGGUAUUGCCGCCAUAGUUUUCGGCAGCGAUUUCCUGCAUUUGGGGUUUGAAGGAACGCGUUCUGAUUUGCGAAGAGGGAAAUUAAAUUUUUGUCUUCCAGUUUAAGGAGCAGGUGACGAAGGAUUACGUCCUUAACAGCGGACUGUGGUUCUUUAACAAUUCGAUGCUUCUUUUGGUGGAUUAUGACGGAAUCCGGGAUCUGGCAGAUGUUCCUCUGAAUUCUAUGGCAGUUUGGGUGGUGGUGAUGGCUAUGCACAAUGAGCAUACUCUAACCUUGCUGGGGAACACCUUGGGGCUGUUUGUAAGGUACGAUCAGGUGGUGUUGCAGAGGAAAGACCCCGUGCAACGAAUCUAGGUUGUGCAUGCUCGUCGUAGUACUCGUUCUCUGCGGAAGUGGCGGUGGAAUUGAAACUAAGGUAUGAGAAGUGCCAUGGCAUCUGUAGGGGCUGUGGUUUCUUUGUUCAUGGGAUGGGUGGCUGCGACAACCUGUUGACGACGGUGAUGGAGCUGGAAGGCACAGCUUCAGCUUUGAAGGCCUUGCUGAUGGUGGCUGACGCGGUCGAAAAUAGGCCGCCUGGCCCGUUUGAGAUGUUUCUGGCGGUUGGUCAGGGUUCGGAGGACGGUGGAGGCACUACUAGAAUUUACCCAAUUGGUGUCAAACCACUUUUGUCAACUAUUCUAAAAAUUUCGUCACCCAAAAGUAUGGGUGACGAAAAACGUUCGUCACCUAUAGGUGCGUGACCAAUUCCUUUGGGUGACGAAAUGAUCUGUUCGUCACCAAAAUAUGUUUAUGUGACGAAAUAAAUUUGUCACCCAAUCCCUCAUAUUCCGUCACUCAUUCUCUUUCAAAAUUCGAUAGAUUUCAGAAAUCAUUUUUAUAGCUUAUUGCAUGUUUUGGCAUAUAUAUAUUUCAACUG